rnacentral:rRNA from 1 species
UCCUACGGGAGGCAGCAGUGGGGAAUUUUGGACAAUGGGGGCAACCCUGAUCCAGCCAUGCCGCGUGCGGGAAGAAGGCCUUCGGGUUGUAAAGCUCUUUCGGCGGGGACGAAAUGGCGCGGGGUAACAUCCCGCGUCGAUGACGGUACCCGAAGAAGAAGCCCCGGCUAACUUCGUGCCAGCAGCCGCGGUA